GUUUCCGUAGGUGAACCUGCGGAAGGAUCAUUAGUGAAAACACAAGUCGGCUGUCUGUGCUGGUGGAAACACAUGUGCACGACGGCCGCAAAUCCACACACUUGUGCACCUUUGACUGUGGGAUUCGCUUGUUGGUCUGUUCCGACUUGCAGCUGAUUGACAUUGUGUUGAUUGGAGUCUCAUGGUAUUUUUCACACACUCUAAAGUAACAGAAUGUAUUUGUGCAUAACGCAUAUAAUAACAACUUUCAACAACGGAUCUCUUGGCUCUCGCACCGAUGAAGAACGCAGCGAAAUGCGAUACGUAAUGUGAAUUGCAGAAUUCAGUGAAUCAUCGAAUCUUUGAACGCACCUUGCACCCCGUGGUUCUCCACGGGGUACGCCCGUUCGAGUGUCACGUAAACCAUCGCCUAAGCAAAGCUAGCUUUGCUCUGGCGGAUCUGGACGCCUGCCGUCGUUGGCUCGUCCGAAAUGCAUUAGCGAGGGUGGUCUCUCUAAACCGCUUGGCGUGAUAUUUCCUUCUCGCCUGUUGGUUCGGUCUAGGAGACGGCUCUGCUCCGAAUCCCGUCGCGUCGACGGAACAUUACAAAGUUUGACCUCGAAUCGGGUGGGACUACCCGCUGAACUUAAGCAUAUCAAUAAGCGGAGGAAAUCGAAUUUCCCGCGG
rnacentral:rRNA from 1 species